CACAUGCAAGUCGAACGGAAAGGCCCCUUCGGGGGUACUCGAGUGGCGAACGGGUGAGUAACACGUGGGCAAUCUGCCCUGCACUUCGGGAUAAGCCUGGGAAACUGGGUCUAAUACCGGAUAGGACCUUUAGACGCAUGUCUUUUGGUGGAAAGCUUUUGCGGUGUGGGAUGGGCCCGCGGCCUAUCAGCUUGUUGGUGGGGUGAUGGCCUACCAAGGCGACGACGGGUAGCCGGCCUGAGAGGGUGUCCGGCCACACUGGGACUGAGAUACGGCCCAGACUCCUACGGGAGGCAGCAGUGGGGAAUAUUGCACAAUGGGCGCAAGCCUGAUGCAGCGACGCCGCGUGGGGGAUGACGGCCUUCGGGUUGUAAACCUCUUUCACCAUCGACGAAGGUUCGGGUUUUCUCGGAUUGACGGUAGGUGGAGAAGAAGCACCGGCCAACUACGUGCCAGCAGCCGCGGUAAUACGUAGGGUGCGAGCGUUGUCCGGAAUUACUGGGCGUAAAGAGCUCGUAGGUGGUUUGUCGCGUUGUUCGUGAAAUCUCACGGCUUAACUGUGAGCGUGCGGGCGAUACGGGCAGACUAGAGUACUGCAGGGGAGACUGGAAUUCCUGGUGUAGCGGUGGAAUGCGCAGAUAUCAGGAGGAACACCGGUGGCGAAGGCGGGUCUCUGGGCAGUAACUGACGCUGAGGAGCGAAAGCGUGGGGAGCGAACAGGAUUAGAUACCCUGGUAGUCCACGCCGUAAACGGUGGGUACUAGGUGUGGGUUUCCUUCCUUGGGAUCCGUGCCGUAGCUAACGCAUUAAGUACCCCGCCUGGGGAGUACGGCCGCAAGGCUAAAACUCAAAGGAAUUGACGGGGGCCCGCACAAGCGGCGGAGCAUGUGGAUUAAUUCGAUGCAACGCGAAGAACCUUACCUGGGUUUGACAUGCACAGGACGCGUCUAGAGAUAGGCGUUCCCUUGUGGCCUGUGUGCAGGUGGUGCAUGGCUGUCGUCAGCUCGUGUCGUGAGAUGUUGGGUUAAGUCCCGCAACGAGCGCAACCCUUGUCUCAUGUUGCCAGCGGGUAAUGCCGGGGACUCGUGAGAGACUGCCGGGGUCAACUCGGAGGAAGGUGGGGAUGACGUCAAGUCAUCAUGCCCCUUAUGUCCAGGGCUUCACACAUGCUACAAUGGCCGGUACAAAGGGCUGCGAUGCCGCAAGGUUAAGCGAAUCCUUUUAAAGCCGGUCUCAGUUCGGAUUGGGGUCUGCAACUCGACCCCAUGAAGUCGGAGUCGCUAGUAAUCGCAGAUCAGCAACGCUGCGGUGAAUACGUUCCCGGGCCUUGUACACACCGCCCGUCACGUCAUGAAAGUCGGUAACACCCGAAGCCAGUGGCCUAACCCUUGGGAGGGAGCUGUCGAAGGUGGGAU
rnacentral:rRNA from 1 species